UUGUUGUCAUGAGGAGCUAAAAGGAGCUGUUUGGAGGACUGCUGAUGUUAUAACCUGAAAAUAACCCUCUCUGUUCGCUUCGACCUCAACUAAUAGCUACAUAAACACUAGAACGCGAACGGAGGCUUCAGGACGGACUUAAAACAGCAACAUGGAGUGGUUUGCUGAACAGGAUCGAAAGGAGAUGUCCCGCACACACCCACAAGAGCCCAGUGUGGACAGCAUGGUGUCCCUGUGUCAGAGUCAGAAGCGCUGUUUAAAGGCCUCCGUUGCGUGUCAGUGGCAGCUGGCGGAAGCGCAGGACCAGCUGUGUGGUCUGGAGCUUCACGGCUCCGAGUCUGUGGAACAGGAGCACGCUCGAGCUCUGGCUUCUUCCACUGAGCUCUCGCAGAUCGAACAGGAGUGGAAGCAUAAAGAGAGAAUGCUGGGAAGGAGUCCCACGCUGUGUCCGGAGGCCAGUCGAGACGUGUUUGACAAGAGUAUCAUAAACAGUUCACAGUCUUGGCCUAGUGAAAGCGAUCAUGACAAAAGCCAAAGUUUCGUCCAACGUUAUGAAGAGCUGUUAAAACAUUUUGGUAUGUUGAGAAGGUGGGACGACAGCCAGCGCUUUCUAUCAGAGCACCACCCUCUCAUCUGUGAAGAAACAGCCAAUUACUUGAUUCUGUGGUGCUUUCGGUUACAAGCGGAGCAAAAAGAGGCUUUAAUGGAGCAGGUUGCUCAUCAGGCGGUCGUCAUGCAGUUUAUUCUGGAGAUGGCCAGAAACGCCCAGCAGGACCCGCGAGGCUGCUUCCGUCAGUUCUUUCAGAAAGCCAAAGUGAGCGUUCAUUCAGAUUCACCCGCUGCAAUGCUACAGAAAUGCUCCUGCAACCUUUUCUAUGCAUUUCCUUGUGCGGUACACACAUGGCUUUUAAUGCACAAUGCAGAUGCUGGCAUUACCCAGAAUGCAUCUGUGUUUAACAGAUAUACUGUCUUUAUGUCAGUUGUCAUUCAGUCUGCUUUCUGGAUACAGCCAUCUGCAUUGGCUAUUAAAAAUAUUAAAACAUUAUGUAUAUUGUUGAAUGUAUAUAUGCAUCCAAAGUCAGACGUUUGGAUACAUGUUGUCAUUCUUUAAUGUUUGUCUUUAUCGCGCUUUACUGUAUGGCUUAAAAGCACUUUCCCCUUAAUAGGAACCACAAUAAGUACUUUCAUUGUUUUCAUUUGGUUAGAUUUCAGAAAUUGUAUCACAGUUUCAUCAUCCUUUUGUAAUGAAAACACCUUACAGCGACCUACAUAAGUUAUUAUGCUGUACGAAAACCCUCAUUAUGUGUCAAGGCUCUUGUUUACUAAAAAUAGUCAAUUCGAGUGUUGUGCAUUAAUAUCAGUGGCCACUAGAGAGAAUCAUGGCAUAAGUGACAGCCUGCGAUGAGGAACAACAAUGCAACCUGCUGAAAUGCUGCUGCUGGAUGUUUGACACAUUUGCUGUGGUGUCAUUUUGGACAGCCCAGUUUAAAAAUAUGUUUUCAUUGAAUUAAAUAAUACAUUUUAUUGUUUUUAUUUUACUGGAGGUUGUAUGUUCUGGUAAUUUGUUAAAUCGUAUUUUAAUUUAUUCUAAUACCUAAUAUUUUACUAACGUAGGACCAGUGUUGGGUAAGUUACUCUGAAAAAGUAAAUCAUUACUAGUUACUAAAUACAUAUUCAAUAGUGUAAUUAGAUUACUGUACAAAUUACUCUCUCCAAAAAGUAUUUAGUUACUUAUUACUAAGUACUUUCUAUAUCCUACAUCAACCUUGAUUAGUUAAGUGAUUUAAGGAUAGACAUGAAAGGCCUUAUUUAAUUCAUUCAAUCAAAUAAUAUUAAACUACAUAAAGUACACUUAUUAACUGACCAAAGUAUUACAAAUGUGAGAAUUAUACAUUAAAGCACGGAUUUUAAAGUUAGACUUUGAAUUUUGAUGUCAAUUCCACUAUUGCACACACAUAUUACACAAAGUAUUUAGUUUAAUUACAUCAGAAGUAACUGUAAUUAAAUUACAGAAAAAUAAGAGUAAUCCCUUACUUUACUUUUUCAAGGGGAAAGUAAUUAAAUUACAGUAACUAAUUACUUAGUAACUAGUUACACCCAACACUGCGUAUGACUAUUCAUUUUACAUUUAGGUAUCCAUUUAUUACACAGUGUAACGAAUUUUUGUUUUGCCCAACGUUUUUAUAGUUCUUGUGUAAUUCUGUGGUUUUAUUUCUUUUCAUGUAGCAUCAAUGUGUUAUUGUAUAUUUAGCUCGAGUAAAUUUUGAGCUUGUAUCAUUAAUUACGACAUAUUGGUAUAUUGCAAAUAAACAAAAACUGUACAAAUUUUCACAGAUUUUAAAAUCUAUUUUCCAAUUCUCACUAUCAGAAAAUUCUCGAAAUGUCUGUAGCACAGGAAGGAUGAAGCGAUGAUGGGUGACUACGUCUGGAACUUGGUUCAUGAGGACAAUAUUAGUCAUAAAAGACAAAAACAAUCAAAUGCGGGACAGGAAGGAUACUUGGACGUUUUCCACAAAGAACUCGAGGCCUUUAAGCAGAGAGUAAUGGAGUAUACAACGAAAUCAAAAGGAGAAACCCCAAAGCAGACGGC